rnacentral:rRNA from 1 species
GUGAGGAAUAUUGGUCAAUGGGGGCAACCCUGAACCAGCGACGCCGCGUGAGGGAUGACGGGGCUUUGCCUUGUAAACCUCUGUCAGAAGGGAAAAGAAGGUUGUUUGGCGACCUGGGCUUGUACCUUCGGAGGAAGCACCGGCUAACUACGUGCCAGCAGCCGCGGUAAUACGUAGGGUGCAAACGUUGUCCGGAAUUACUGGGGGUAAAGGGCGAGUAGGCGGAUGAGCAAGUCAGAUGUGAAAUACCGGGGCUUAACCCCGGGGCUGCAUUUGAAACUGCUUAUCUUGAGUAAUGGAGAGGCAGGCGGAAUUCCCGGUGUAGCGGUGGAAUGCGUAGAUAUCGGGAGGAACACCAGUGGCGAAGGCGGCCUGCUGGACAUUAACUGACGCUGAUGAGCGAAAGCGUGGGGAGCAAACAGGAUUAGAUACCCUAGUAGUCC